AGCUUUGAUCCGGGGGUGUCCGAAUGGGGAAACCCAGCUGUGGUAAUUCGCAGUUACUCAUUUCUGAAUACAUAGGAAAUGUAGAGGCAGACCAGGGGAACUGAAACAUCUAAGUACCCUGAGGAAGAGAAAACAAUAGUGAUUCCGUCAGUAGCGGCGAGCGAACGCGGAACAGCCUAAACCAAGGGGCUUGCUCUUAGGGGUUGUGGGACGUCUCACAUGGAGUUACAAAGGAAUAUGGUAGGUGAAGAGGUCUGGAAAGGCCCGCGAUAGAGGUAAAAGCCCUGUAACCUAAACUGUAUUCUCUCCGAGACGGAUCCCGAGUAGUGCGGGGCACGUGAAACCCCGUAUGAAUCCAGCAGGACCAUCUGCUAAGGCUAAAUACUACCUGGCGACCGAUAGUGAAACAGUACCGUGAGGGAAAGGUGAAAAGCACCCCGGAAGGGGAGUGAAAUAGAACCUGAAACCGUGUGCUUACAAAAAGUCAGAGCCCGAUCUAUGGGUGAUGGCGUGCCUUUUGUAGAAUGAACCGGCGAGUUACGUUUAACAUGCAAGGUUAAGCCGAGAAGGUGGAGCCGCAGCGAAAGCGAGUCUGAAUAGGGCGAUUGAGUAUGUGGACGUAGACCCGAAACCGUGUGAUCUACCCCUGUCCAGGGUGAAGGUGCGGUAACACGCACUGGAGGCCCGAACCCACGUACGUUGAAAAGUGCGGGGAUGAGGUGGGGGUAGCGGAGAAAUUCCAAUCGAACUCGGAGAUAGCUGGUUCUCCCCGAAAUAGCUUUAGGGCUAGCCUCGGUAUAAGAGUAGUGGAGGUAGAGCACUGAUUGGGUGCGGGGUCCGCAAGGAUUACCAAGCUCAGUCAAACUCCGAAUGCCAUAUACUUAUUGCCGGGAGUCAGACAGUGAGUGCUAAGAUCCAUUGUCAAAAGGGAAACAGCCCAGACCAUCAGCUAAGGUCCCCAAGUGUGUGUUAAGUGGGAAAGGAUGUGGAGUUGCACAGACAACCAGGAUGUUGGCUUAGAAGCAGCCACCAUUGAAAGAGUGCGUAAUAGCUCACUGGUCGAGUGACUCUGCGCCGAAAAUGUAACGGGGCUAAACACACCACCGAAGCUAUGGCUAGAUACUAUGUAUCUGGGGUAGGGGAGCGUUGUGUAGGGGUUGAAGGUGUACUGAAAAGAGCGCUGGACACUACACAAGUGAGAAUGCCGGUAUGAGUAACGAAAAGAUCAGUGAGAAUCUGAUCCGCCGAAAGCCCAAGGUUUCCUGAGGAAGGCUCGUCCGCUCAGGGUAAGUCGGGACCUAAGGCGAGGCCGAAAGGCGUAGUCGAAGGACAACAGUUUGAAAUUACUGUACCACCGUAAUCCGCUAUGAGCGAUGGGGUGACGCAGGAGGGUAGUGACGCGGACUGAUGGAUGUCCGUCUAAGCAGUGAGGCUGAUGUGUAGGCAAAUCCGCACAUCGUUAAGGCUAGGCUGUGAUGGGGAGCGAAAAUUAUAGUAGCGAAGGUCAUGAUCUCACACUGCCAAGAAAAGCCUCUAGCCAGGAGAAGGUGCCCGUACCGCAAACCGACACAGGUAGGCGAGAAGAGAAUUCUAAGGCGCGCGGAAGAACUCUCGUUAAGGAACUCGGCAAAAUGACCCCGUAACUUCGGGAGAAGGGGUGCCCCGGUAGUGUGAAUAGCACGAGGGGGCCGCAGUGAAAAGGCCCAAGCGACUGUUUAGCAAAAACACAGGUCUGUGCGAAGCCGCAAGGCGAAGUAUACGGGCUGACGCCUGCCCGGUGCUGGAAGGUUAAGGGGAGUGGUUAGGGGUAACCCGAAGCUAUGAACCGAAGCCCCAGUAAACGGCGGCCGUAACUAUAACGGUCCUAAGGUAGCGAAAUUCCUUGUCAGGUAAAUUCUGACCCGCACGAAUGGCGUAACGACUUGGGCGCUGUCUCAACGAGAGAUCCGGUGAAAUUUUAAUACCUGUGAAGAUGCAGGUUACCCGCGACAAGACGGAAAGACCCCAUGGAGCUUUACUGCAGCUUGAUAUUGAAUUUGGGUACGAUCUGUACAGGAUAGGUGGGAGCCGUAGAAAUCGGAGCGCAAGCUUCGGUGGAGGCGCCGUUGGGAUACCACCCUGAUCGUAUCUAGGUUCUAACCUAGUACCCUAAUCGGGUACGGGGACCGUGUCAGGCGGGCAGUUUGACUGGGGCGGUCGCCUCCUAAAGAGUAACGGAGGCGUUCCAAGGUUCCCUCAGAAUGGUUGGAAAUCAUUCGCAGAGUGCAAAGGCAUAAGGGAGCUUGACUGCGAGACC
rnacentral:rRNA from 1 species